UUCCCAGUUCUAUAAAAUAUCUGGUACAAUUGUGUGAUGAUUAAUACUGAGUGUCAACUUGAUUAGAUUGAAGGAUACAAAGUAUUGAUCCUGGGUGUGUCUGUGAGGGUGUUGCCAAAAGAGAUUAACAUUUGAGUCAGUGGGCUGGGAAAGAUAGACCCACCCUCAAUCUGGGUGGACACAAUCUAAUCGGCUGUCAGUGCAGCUAGAAUAUAAGCAGGCAGAAAAAAAGUGAAAAGAGAGACUGGCCUAGCCUCCCAGCCUACAUCUUUCUCCCAUGCUGGAUGCUUCCUGCCCUCAAACAUCAGACUCCGAGUUCUUCAGUUUGGGAUUCAGACUGGCUCUCCUUGCUCCUCAGCCACCUUGUGAUUGUAUAUUUGUCAAGAACAGUGAAGAGUCUGAGACUGCACCAUUCUUACAAGCUGACAAGUUAUCCUGCCUCAGUUACUUGAAUGCUGCCAGACAACAAAGAGAUGCUUGAGAGAGAAACAAAGGAUAGCUUCAUACUCACUGCAAUAGCAGUGACCUGAGUCGGAAAUCCCAGCUUUAAGAAAGCCAAGUAUUUGUGUGGAAAGAAACAUGUCUGCCCUUUAUUUAUAAAGGAAAAACUCUCAUUUUCAAGAAUAUUUGCUCUACUAACAUCCUUGUAAAGAGAGUUCACAACAAAGACUCUGUUCACAAGAGAAGCAGAACAGAGAGAGACCCAUUGGUUAAUUUUUCUCCCAAGAAUAUUAUGAUGUUCUUUGUUUUGUGUAUGUUACCAUCCUUAAAAGGACAAUACUAUCAACAAG